CAGUAGCACUCUGAAAGAUAUAUUGCUGGGUUCUGGUUCAUCUGCUAAUGCAUCUGCUCCAGCUCUGAAUAGGCCAGCUGAGCAGGUAACUUCCUGCUAGAUAUUUGUGGAUAUAUUUCUUAAAGCGGUGUUGACCCCAACCGUUAUCUUGCAUUGAAUUUCUGCAACUUCAACAUAAUUAUUUUAUCAUCUUAUUUCUGGUUUCAGGUGUUUGAGAUUGUUAACCUUGCA
rnacentral:lncRNA from 1 species